GAGCCCGACGCGGGGCUCGAACUCACGGACCGCGAGAUCGUGACCUGGCUGAAGUCGGACGCUUAACCGACUGCGCCACCCAGGCGCCCCAACUUUCAAAAACAAACAAGAAGUGUUUUCCGUGAGACACAAACCGGAAACAUGUUUCUUUGAGGAAAUGAGGUUUCUGUUCCUAGUGUGUGUAAUUCAUACUUUAUGUAAAUGACAUUUAAUCACGCAGCAAGUGUCUUUCCUCUUUAGCUUAAACACUGACGAUCAAUAGACACGGUUUCCGUGUUGGAGUAAUUACUGAGAUUCCUCACGCGUUCCCUGUGUCCUUUCGACGUUCCGAUGUGAACCGAGUGCCUCUCUGCUCUCCCUUAGAUCCCCUUUCCCAACCCGGUUUAUUAAAACCCAUUUCUCAUGUUUUCAUUGUACCGUGAGUGAGAAGUCAUUCUCGGCACGUUAAUUUACGGGCAGACGCAUGAGUUGCAGGUAGGUAUCAGGACUGGAAAAUAAAGCCGUUUACAAAUAAUUAUCCUUUGGGGGGGACCUGAAGGCAGUAAAUCUGAAAUCUGGUGAACCUGAAUCCUGGAUUUUGCUGGAGUAAGGGCUAUUUCAGAGGCACUUCAGCUCCAUUAAAAUAAAAACUAGAAAAAAAAAAAAAGAAAAGAAAAGAAGGCAAGUGUUGCCUUAAGAAGAUUACUGGUCUCUUUCACUUACCUUUCCGUUUUUCCCCUGUUGAAUCACUUUGCGUUUAGGACUAAAACCAAACCGAUUUAAACCCAUACCUGAAACAUCAGCGAGCUUCAGGACAUAAGGACAAGGAGGGCCGUAUCUUUCGUUUUCAGAAUUUCAGCAUCCAAACCUGCUCCUUCUACCUCAGUGCCAGCUGUCCAGGUCCUUCCUACCUUGUCACGAGCACAUGGAAGACAGGGCUAGUGGUUCAUCCAAUGCCUGCUCCCUUUUCUUCCUCGCGAGCAGAACCCCAAACCUGUGUGAUCUGAGUAAUGUGACACCUCGCACGGAUCCAUCAUAGGCAUGUGAACACCCGUCGCCGAUUUAGGGAUGGGUUUAGGGAUGGGCACAUGACACAAUUUUCGCCGUUGUUCACAUGGCUGGGGAGGGGUGUUCUAUUUUUCAUUAGAAAAACAGGCAAGAACAGUUGGCUGCCCUCCUGCCAUCAUAAGGACUCAGUCACGCUGAGAGAGCGGCCAACGUAGGCAAGGUCGGAGCCAAGAAACAGAGCUCCCAGGUCCUGAAGAGAUUUUUGAGCCCCCAAAUCAGGCUGGGUUAGGAGCCAGCUCAGUCUUCAACAUUUUCAAAUAUUUGAGUCAGUUAAUCUCUUUUUCUUUCCUAAGUCUGUUUGAAUUAGAUUUUCUGGGACUGACGGUCAAAAGGGUACUACCUCUCAUGGUAGUAGUAGUAUACUGUCCCCAAUGAAACGAUGUGGGAUCUGAGCUCCAGGAUGAUGUAAUUUCCCCAACGCACCCAGUUUUGAACUCAGGUCAAUAUGCCUCCAAGGCUGGUCAGUAUUGCCACUGAGAAAUCACUUACCUAUUUCUGUCCACGCCGGUCAUGUCCAAAGGUGGGAGCCAAGCUUCACCAUCUUGGUAUUGAAUCUGAAUCUGCGAUUCUCUUGGGACGCAGGCUAAAAACACUGGUUGAAUCCGGGCAAGAAGAAAAGGAACAUUUCCUCGAGCAGAUUAAUUUUUGGACUUGGUAUUUAUAAUUAGCUAUUUUGGAGUUAGUUACAGCAACCUCUGUGGGUUAUUUAUUUGAUCGCCCAUGACUGAAGAAAAACAGCUUUGAUUUGGUUUCCCAGUGACCCAGAUGAACUGCAUCGUUAGGCAGUUGGUAGAGGUCUUCCUAAUUACAAGAAAUAAAAAGAAAAAUCUGAACACUCCUUCUUCCCCCUCCAACAUUCUUUGCAAAACAGGCCUAACUAGGCCCUGGACUAGUUCACGAAAAUGUGUCACUAACAAAAUAUCGAAGAGGCAGAACAGCCUGAUGGAAAAAGUUUUAUUGAGUGCUUCGGUGACAAAAAUAUCUUCAAAGGGAGUUCUAUCAAUUUUAUUAGCUACAUUGUGCACUUUUCCAUGACGAGCAUAUCAAGCACAAUAGCAUUUGAAUUAGCAAUCAAGUUUUAAUAGUAUUUGACACUUCCCCACCUUGUACUGGCAGAAACUGUCUCUCUGAGGAGAGAUGCCAUGAGAGGAAACAUCAGCCUGCGGCAGAGAAAUGGGGUGGCGUCCGAAAGCUCGUUUGUGAAUUUGUCGGUUGUUGCUCAGGACACAUCUUCCCAUGAUGGCGAGACGCAAAGGGCUACGUAUCGCAGGAUUCUGUUGAUAUUAAAUGGCUGGAACGGGCAAACCUGUAGAGACCAAAAGUAGAUCAUUGGUCGCCAGGGGCUGGGGCUUGCAAGAAUGGGGAGGGGUGUGACUGCUAAUGCGUGGGGGUUUGUUUUUAGGGGUGAUGAAGAUAUUCUGAAGUUUGACAGCGGUGAUGAUUGCACAACUCUGCGAAUGUACUCAAAAUCACUGGAUUGUAUACUUUGAAAUGGUGAAUUUUAUGGUGUGUGAAUUAUAAUAAAGUUGUUAUUUAAGGAAAGGCAAA